UGUCUGAGGUGUGAGAAAUUGGGAGUGAAAAGAGGUUAGCUGGAGCAGUGAUGUAAGCGUUGAGCGAGUGUUGGGUGUGCAGUAUGAGAGCCAUUGUAUGUAUCUGGGUAGUAAGCUUGGGGUCAAUCAAGUAGCUUGGGGGGUAUAUAAGGACUGAUUUGAAAGUUGUGAGUUGGCAGCCAGUUGGAAAGUGUAUGUGCGUGUCAGGUUGGCUGGUUUUCCUGAAUAUUCAACUGGUGUGAGUAUGAUAAUGUUAUGUUAUCAUAAAUGACUGAAA